rnacentral:rRNA from 1 species
AAUAGAUACCCUGGUAGUCCACGCCGUAAACGAUGAGUACUAGCUGUCGGAGGUUACCCCCUUCGGUGGCGCAGCUAACGCAUUAAGUACUCCGCCUGGGAAGUACGCUCGCAAGAGUGAAACUCAAAGGAAUUGACGGGGACUCGCACAAGUAGCGGAGCAUGUGGUUUAAUUCGAAGCAACGCGAAGAACCUUACCUAAGCUUGACAUCCUUUUGACCGAUGCCUAAUCGCAUCUUUCCCUUCGGGGACAGAAGUGACAGGUGGUGCAUGGUUGUCGUCAGCUCGUGUCGUGAGAUGUUGGGUUAAGUCCCGCAACGAGCGCAACCCUUGCCUUUAGUUGCCAGCAUUAAGUUGGGCACUCUAGAGGGACUGCCAGGGAUAACCUGGAGGAAGGUGGGGAUGACGUCAAAUCAUCAUGCCCCUUAUGCUUAGGGCUACACACGUGCUACAAUGGGUGGUACAGAGGGCAGCCAAGUCGUGAGGCGGAGCUAAUCCCUUAAAGCCAUUCUCAGUUCGGAUUGUAGGCUGAAA